GAGUUUGAUCAUGGCUCAGAUUGAGCGCUGGCGGCAGGCCUAACAUAUGCAAGUCGAACGGUAACAGGAGACAGCUUGCUGUUUCGCUGACGAGUGGCGGACGGGUGAGUAAUGUCUGGGAAACUGCCUGAUGGAGGGGGAUAACUACUGGAAACGGUAGCUAAUACCGCAUAACGUCGCAAGACCAAAGAGGGGGACCUUCGGGCCUCUUGCCAUCAGAUGUGCCCAGAUGGGAUUAGCUAGUAGGUGGGGUAACGGCUCACCUAGGCGACGAUCCCUAGCUGGUCUGAGAGGAUGACCAGCCACACUGGAACUGAGACACGGUCCAGACUCCUACGGGAGGCAGCAGUGGGGAAUAUUGCACAAUGGGCGCAAGCCUGAUGCAGCCAUGCCGCGUGUAUGAAGAAGGCCUUCGGGUUGUAAAGUACUUUCAGCGGGGAGGAAGGGAGUAAAGUUAAUACCUUUGCUCAUUGACGUUACCCGCAGAAGAAGCACCGGCUAACUCCGUGCCAGCAGCCGCGGUAAUACGGAGGGUGCAAGCGUUAAUCGGAAUUACUGGGCGUAAAGCGCACGCAGGCGGUUUGUUAAGUCAGAUGUGAAAUCCCCGGGCUCAACCUGGGAACUGCAUCUGAUACUGGCAAGCUUGAGUCUCGUAGAGGGGGGUAGAAUUCCAGGUGUAGCGGUGAAAUGCGUAGAGAUCUGGAGGAAUACCGGUGGCGAAGGCGGCCCCCUGGACGAAGACUGACGCUCAGGUGCGAAAGCGUGGGGAGCAAACAGGAUUAGAUACCCUGGUAGUCCACGCCGUAAACGAUGUCGACUUGGAGGUUGUGCCCUUGAGGCGUGGCUUCCGGAGCUAACGCGUUAAGUCGACCGCCUGGGGAGUACGGCCGCAAGGUUAUAACUCAAAUGAAUUGACGGGGGCCCGCACAAGCGGUGGAGCAUGUGGUUUAAUUCGAUGCAACGCGAAGAACCUUACCUGGUCUUGACAUCCACGGAAGUUUUCAGAGAUGAGAAUGUGCCUUCGGGAACCGUGAGACAGGUGCUGCAUGGCUGUCGUCAGCUCGUGUUGUGAAAUGUUGGGUUAAGUCCCGCAACGAGCGCAACCCUUAUCCUUUGUUGCCAGCGGUCCGGCCGGGAACUCAAAGGAGACUGCCAGUGAUAAACUGGAGGAAGGUGGGGAUGACGUCAAGUCAUCAUGGCCCUUACGACCAGGGCUACACACGUGCUACAAUGGCGCAUACAAAGAGAAGCGACCUCGCGAGAGCAAGCGGACCUCAUAAAGUGCGUCGUAGUCCGGAUUGGAGUCUGCAACUCGACUCCAUGAAGUCGGAAUCGCUAGUAAUCGUGGAUCAGAAUGCCACGGUGAAUACGUUCCCGGGCCUUGUACACACCGCCCGUCACACCAUGGGAGUGGGUUGCAAAAGAAGUAGGUAGCUUAACCUUCGGGAGGGCGCUUACCACUUUGUGAUUCAUGACUGGGGUGAAGUCGUAACAAGGUAACCGUAGGGGAACCUGCGGUUG
rnacentral:rRNA from 1 species